ACCAACGGUGUUGCCGGAAGGGCCGCGCCGCGCCAUGCUGAGCCUCGCUGGCUUCCGGCGGCUGCUGGCGGCGCCGGUGCGGGUCGGUGGUGGGGUCAUGCCCCGAAAGGGAAAAGGAGCCGGGAAGGGAGCUGCGGAACCGGAAGUCGCCGCGGGACCGGUGGUGGCGACGGGCGACGGCUGCGUGAGGGUAUCGGUUCGCGCCAAGCCCGGCUCUCGCUGCAGCGCCGUCACAGAUGUGACAACUGAGGCAGUAGGUGUAGCUAUUGCUGCACCUCCAUCAGAAGGGGAGGCAAAUGCAGAGCUGUGUCGUUACCUCUCUAAGGUGUUAGAAGUGAAGAAGAGUGAAGUUAUAUUAGAGAAGGGUGGUAAAUCACGUGAAAAAGUGGUGAAGAUUUUGGUAUCGAUGACGCCAGACGAUGUUUUAGAAAGACUGAAAAAAGAAGCUUCCAGCUGAGCUGAAAACAAGAGUGGGAAAUAGGAAAAUGCAUCUUGGUAAAUGGACUGAUUUUCUCAUGUAAAUCUAGUCCUGUUGAGAAUGUUGGUAAUGACUAUGGGAAGACUUCUUCUGCACCCACCUUAUUAAUGUAGUUGCUGUAAAAUUGAUGUUUUUGUGUAGGUUUGGUUAAAAGAACUCACCUGUACCAAGGCUUUGUGUCCGCUUCUGUCACUAUAGACUUCUGUGCUCUGGAGAGUUUCCAGUUGCUCCUUGCUGUUUCAUCUGUUCUUGCCCAGCAGAGGGAUACCAUGUAUUGAAGAAAAAUUAAGGUAAAGAAAGCCAAGGAUUCAUGGAGAGAUGCACUCCCUUCCUGGAUGUGGGAGUCUGGAGUAUCUAGCGUUGUGCAUGUGACUCUGCAUUAAAAAGGAACUCCACCAUACCACCUUGUAGGCUCUCCACAGUGCACAGGUAAUGUCAUGACUUUUACAACAGUCAGCAUGGAUGGUUUCAUGUUUCUGCACAACAGCUGAAGAAAAUGUCAAGUACAAAUAGCUGCACUGCUCACCUGAUAAAUAUUAGCUUAUCACGUAAAUGGUGAGAACUUUGACCUUCUAAUAGCAGAAUGUAAGAUAGUGGAUUAACACUCCAGAUUUCUAAUUAAUCACGGUGUGCCUCAUCCUCUUGAUUGUAGCUGAGCAGGCUGUUGCAACUUAAAUCAACAGUUGUCCAGUACUAAUGCUUACCUGUUAGUACUGUCUCUUGUGCAGCUGUCAGCCUAGGUGACAGUAGGUUUCAGAAAUAAAUCAGAAACAACCUUCUGUGUGAACUAUA